CGUAAGGCAUCCACCUAGGGAGUACGCUUCAACGGUUGGAAACUUCAAAAGGGAAAUGACGGGGCCCGCACCAAGCGGAGGGAAACAUGUGGUUAAUUCGAUGGAUACGCGAGGAACCUUUACCCGGGCCUUGAACUGCCAGCGAACGAAUUCAGAGAUGAUGAGGGCCCUUCGGGGCGCUGGUGGAGGUGCUGCAUGGUUGUCGUCAGCUCGUGCCCGUGAGGUGUCGGCUUUAAGUGCCAUAACGAGCGCAACCCCUUUCUCCCAGUUGCCAUCAGGUUAAGCUGGGCACUCUGGAGACACUGCCACCGUAAGGUGUGAGGAAGGUGGGGAUGACGUCAAAUCAGGACGGCCCUUACGUCCGGGGCUACACACGUGUUACAAUGGGUGGUACAAAGGGUCGGUACGCUGGCAAUAGCGAUCCAAUCCUAAAAGCCAUCCUCAGUUCGGAUUGGGGUCUGCAACCCGACCCAUGAAGCUGGAUUCGCUAGUAAUCGCGCAUCAGCCAUGGCGCGGUGAAUACGUUCCCGGGCCUUGUACACACCGCCCGUCAAGCCAUGAAAGCCGGGGGCGCCUGAAGUCCGUGACCGCGAGGGUCGGCCUAGGGUGAAACCGGUGAUGGGGCUAAGUCGUAACAAUUACCUAAUCUAGAGCACCGCGAUUUCUGCUC
rnacentral:rRNA from 1 species